rnacentral:rRNA from 1 species
GGGUCAGUAGGUUGGUCGUGCCACCGGUACGUACUGGUCUCACUGAUUCCUCCUUCCUGAAGAACCGUUAUGCCAUUAAUUUGGUGUUGCGGGGAAACAGGACUGUUACUUUGAAAAAAUUAGAGUGUUUAAAGCAAGCUAACGCUUGAAUACAUUAGCAUGGAAUAAUGAAAUAGGACGAUCGAUCCUAUUUUGUUGGUUUCUAGGAUUGACGUA